rnacentral:rRNA from 1 species
CCUACGGGUGGCAGCAGUGAGGAAUAUUGGUCAAUGGACGAGAGUCUGAACCAGCCAAGUAGCGUGAAGGAUGACUGCCCUCUGGGUUGUAAACUUCUUUUAUAAAGGAAUAAAACGAGGCUCGUGUGCCUUUUUGCAUGUACUUUAUGAAUAAGGAUCGGCUAACUCCGUGCCAGCAGCCGCGGUAAUACGGGGGAUACGAGCGUUAUCCGGAUUUAUUGGGUUUAAAGGGAGCGUAGAUGGGUUGUUAAGUCAGGUGUGAAAGGUUGCGGCUCAACCGUAAAAUUGCAAUUGAUACUGGCAGUCUUGAGUGCAGUUGAGGUAGGCGGAAUUCGUGGUGUAGCGGUGAAAUGCGUAGAUAUCACGAAGAACCCCGAUUGCGAAGGCAGCUUACUAAACUGUGACUGACAUUGAUGCUCGAAAGUGUGGGUAUCAAACAGGAUUAGAUACCCUAGUAGUC